rnacentral:tRNA from 1 species
GCUAAUGUAGCUUAAAUUAAAGCAUAACGCUGAAGAUGUUAAGAUGGGCCCUAGAAAGCCCCAUCAGCA